GUGCUCACUUUGACAGCACUUAUACUAAAAUUGGAUCAGUACAGAGAUUAGUGUGGCCCCUGUGAAAAGAUAACAUGCAAAUUUGUGAAGUGUUCCAUAUCUUU